UAUUAGAUACAUAAGCUCCUGAAUGAAGGAUCUCUCUCUCUCUCUCUCUUGCUGAGCUGAUGGCUCUCCUGUUGCAGGGGUGUGCUCCCCUGCAUUUGCCCACAUGGCUCACAGCUACAUGGACCCCACACAGUGGACGAAUGGACUGCAACUAGUCGGAUGCUGCAUGGGGCCCCGCUCUGCCAUGGAACAGACGCUCUGGACACUGGCUUUGCUUUCAGCUCUGCUGGCCCCCCAGCUGCACAUUUUCCAGGACUGGUGUCCUGUUUCUUUCAGCAGGAGGGAUUUGGAAAUGUGCUCCUAGGAUGGAAAAGUUCAAGUGUACCCAAAAGAGAACAAUGCAUGUCACUCUGCUUCCAACGCAAUCAGUUCCCACCAAUUUGGAUGAUUCUGAAACAAGUUUUUUAAAAUUUGAAAGAACUAACAGCAGGGGUUUUUUAUUACAAAUGGAAUGACUCAGGAACUUGUCAUCUUCUCAAUUGGCUGAAGGUAAAAACGACUUGGGAAUGAUGGAAGAGUUCAAGUUAUAUUUUUCGUUUUUUGGACUGAGAAUGUGAAUAAUUAAAAGACAAACACAAGCUGGAUUUGUCUUUAAUGAGAUAGACUCAGUUUCGACUUCAUCCCUGGUGGAAAACCAAAAGGAGACAGAACUGAGAGCCACGAGGUACGGCCUCCAGCUGAGAAUAACAAGGCCUGUGUUAUGUUGUCCACUCCAUCCUCAGCGCUGCCCAGUCCGGGAUCCAUCCUGCUAUUUUCAUAACACUUCAAAUGACUUCACAUCUGCAAGUAAUUAGUUGCAAAAUAAUCUGUCUUGGGACUGUGGGCUGGAGAAGGGUUGGGCAAUAGGAGUUCCCACUGUGGUCUAACCAUGCGUAAACCGUGCUCCUUCUGCCUCUGUCCACUCAUACAGCCAUAAAUAGAGCUGUAAACAUAGGUCGUGGAUAUGGCUAGUCCUGCGAAGUCAUGCACAGAGCCCUGGGGCAGCUCAUCGUCCAUGAGAACAGCACCAAGAACAAUACGCACGUUUAUAGAGUGUGUCACGUUUUACAGAGCUCUCUCCCUUCAUGAUCUUCAUUCUUUUCCACAGCAAGCUUGAGAGGAGGAGAGGGUAAGAUUUCAGUCUGAGACAUGAGGAGCCCAUCGUCAUUAAGCUACUUGUUGGAAUUCAUCUUCACACACUGAAAUGCAAUGCACACGAGGGAAUGCUGAUGCAAUGAGGGUGCUCCAACCUGCAGCAGGUGCCUCGGACCUGGGACUUAAUAGCUCGAUCGCACGAAGGCUGGAUGUCUGCAACAUCAUAAGAGGCUUUCUCCACAAAAAGAGAAAAAUACCUUUCUCCCAUUCUUAGAACGUUGUGGAUAAAGAGGGAUCCAUUUCUUUCUCGAUCUUCCCCAGAGGCAAGGAAUGGACAAGGUGAUUUUUCAAGAGGGUUUUCUUUGCCUUUCCAUGUUUGGCUGAGCAGUGCUAUGUUUCCACCGAGGGGAUCAGGGAAGUGAGGUUUGCUGGGAUGGGAGGCAGUGUCUAAUUCGCCUCCCUCCCGUGGAGGUAAGGGUGUCCCCAGGGAUGAAGCCUUUGCUUGCUGCGUCUCCUUCAGAAAAGGCUGAGGGUAAGUGUUCCAGCUGGGCUCCCCAAUCAGAUGGAUUCUGGAAGCUUCCCCUCUCAUGUCCUCACCAUUUUUCUCCUACCAUCUGGAGCAUGAGAAACCAACGGGCAACCAGCGACUUGUUUGGAAAGGUUUGGGGCUCAUGCACACAGGGGAAUGUGCCCAGGUUCAGAGCUGCCUCCCGUGGGAUCCGAGCCUUCAGCAAGGGCUGUGUUGGCGUGGCCGCCAUGAGAAGAGCUCUGCUCUCUCAUUGGAGUGUGUGUCCCUCUGCUUCACCCCAGACCCUGAGCUCAGAGCAGAGGAAUGUUUACAUGGAAAGGGACUGCCAAGGUUUUAAAUUGCAUCCAUUAAGAAACGAAUUAUCCUCUUAAUCGCUCUUUGUUUCAUUCCUCAAAAGAUUAAAAUGCUUUUUAAUUUAAUAAAGUUUUGAAAAAACUUUAUUUAGGUAAGUUUAUAAUUUUACGAAAGUGUGUUCAGAGACGUGAGAACACCCAGGGAACUCGAGGAUGCUGAGAAUGGCCUAUUAAGGUCUCACUCGUGUCUCAUUUC